GGAACCUUUCCUUUGUUGAGAAUUUCAAUCGACCUAUUCCACGCUUUUAUGCUUACAGCGGCUGCCUUCAAGCAUCAUUGUAAAUUGUUCUUCUCGAAGCAGACUUCCAAUUCCAAUGACUCUGAUCAUCAAUAUCGUUACUUCCAUCCAGAUAACCUUGUGAGUACAUUUAAUAACAUCUCUUCCAAUUCAUAUGAUUUAUGGUGUAUAAAUAGGUCAGAUUCAUUUUUUCCAAAACACGCCUUCUUUCAGUUCCUCUUCUGUUCUUCUGCACUUAACGUUUAUCGAUUCUGUGUCAGAAAUUUUUCAUGGCUGCAGGAAAAUACGACUAUGUUAACGACAUCACUCCUGCCAAGGAAUCCUGGGACAUUGUUGUUUGAGUUGUUCGUUUAUGGUUUGUACCAUAUUUGAAUUCCAAACAAAAUUUUUAUGCAAUGGAAAUGGUUUUGAUGGAUGAAGAGAUUCUUCUUCUAGGGAAGCGACUAUGGUUGUUGGAAAAUGUGGUUAUGAACCUGACAUUGGAACCUUGAAGGAUAAUAAAACGCAGAAGAUGCACAAUUGUACACAUCCAUAAGAUGAAGAAGAAAUCACUAUCAGUAAUUUGAACAGAAUGGUUUUCACAUAUCAGAAGAGAUCAAACGUCUGGUUGCCUACUUGAAAGACAUUUACGGGGAUUCUAGAGGCAACAAGAUGGUUGUACUUUGCUGGUUUCACAGAAUUGAAGAGGGUUUUGAUUAUGUAUAGUAUACAUUGGUUGUUAUGAAGGUGUACUUUUCAAGCCAAGUCUAAAGCCAUUGAAGGAAAUAUUUUCAGCUAUUUUUUUUUGUUGCAAUCAUAUCUUAAGCUGAUGUAAGGGUAGGAUGAGAAGUAGUAUUUUGUUCUAAAUUUUUUAGACGUGUGGGUAAUUCUUUAUUUCUUGCAAAUAAACUAAAAAUAAAUUAUUGUUAAUUCUCAAAUUCAUAUC